CGCAUUUUAUUUCAAUCUUUUGAGCUUUUGGCUGACUCAAAUGAUGAACCUCUUGCUGCAACAAUAGAUUUUAUAUUUAAAGCUGCAUCACAGUGCCAACAUCUUCCUGAAGCAGUUAGGUCUGUUCGUGUUAGGCUAAAAAAUUUGGGUGCUGAGGUGUCUCCUUGUGUCCUGGAUUUUUUGAGUAAAACUGUAAAUAGUUGGGGAGAUGUUGCUGAAGCCAUGCUUAGAGAUAUUGAAUGUGAUGAUGAUUUUGGGUAUGACAGCUCAGCAUUGCCAUGUGGUCUUUUCUUGUUUGGUGAAAAUGGACGGGCUCCUGAAAGGUUGCAUUUGAUGGACAAGCAGGCCUUCCAUGCUAGUUGCCAUUUUUCUGAUAUUUAUAUCUUGAUUGAGAUGUUAUCUAUACCUUGUCUUGCUGUUGAAGCUUCUCAAACAUUUGAGAGAGCUAUAGCUCGAGGGGCAAUUGUAGCUCAAUCGGUGGCAAUGGUUUUGGAAAGGCGGCUUGCUCAGAGAUUGAAUUUCAGUGCCAGAUUUGUGGCUGAAAAUUUUCAGCAUGCAGAUGGUGUAAUAGAGGGCGAAGCCACUGAACAGCUGAGAAUCCAAAGGGAUGAUUUUAAUGUUGUUCUUGGCCUUGCUGAGACGAUGGCCCUUUCAAGGGACCCCUGUGUGAAGGGGUUUGUGAAGAUGCUUUACACAUUAUUGUUUAAAUGGUAUGCUGAUGAGUCAUACAGAGGGAGGAUGCUAAAGAGACUUGUUGAUCAUGCCACCAGUACUACAGAUAAUAGUCGUGAUGUGGAUUUAGACUUGGAUAUAUUGGUUAUUUUAGUUUGUGAGGAGCAAGAAAUUGCCAAACCUGUUCUAAGCAUGAUGCGGGAGGUUGCUGAACUUGCAAAUGUUGAUCGGGCUGCUCUUUGGCAUCAGUUAUGUGCUAGUGAGGAUGAAAUUGUUCGCAUGCGUGAAGAGAUGAAGACAGAAAUUUCUAAUAUGGUUCGGGAAAAAGCUCUUCUAUCACAAAAAUUGAGUGAAUCAGAGGCCACUAACAAUCGACUCAAGUCUGAAAUGAGGGCUGAGAUGG
rnacentral:misc_RNA from 1 species